GCAGUCGAACGAUGAGGUGGAGCUUGCUCCACGGAUUAGUGGCGAACGGGUGAGGAACACGUGAGAAACCUGCCUCGGAUUUUGGGAUAACAAAUGGAAACGUUUGCUAAUACCAAAUAACGUCGGAGAGUCACAUGACUUUCUGACGAAAGGAAUUCCGAUUCGAGAGGGUCUCGCGGCCUAUCAGCUUGUUGGCGGGGUAAUGGCCCACCAAGGCAACGACGGGUAGCUGGUCUGAGAGGACGACCAGCCACACUGGGACUGAGACACGGCCCAGACUCCUACGGGAGGCAGCAGUGGGGAAUUUUGGACAAUGGGCGCAAGCCUGAUCCAGCCAUUCCGCGUGCAGGAUGAAGGCCCUCGGGUUGUAAACUGCUUUUGUACGGAACGAAAAGGUCUGCCCUAAUACGGCGGGCUCAUGACGGUACCGUAAGAAUAAGCACCGGCUAACUACGUGCCAGCAGCCGCGGUAAUACGUAGGGUGCAAGCGUUAAUCGGAAUUACUGGGCGUAAAGCGUGCGCAGGCGGUGAUGUAAGACAGAUGUGAAAUCCCCGGGCUCAACCUGNGAACUGCAUUUGUGACUGCAUCGCUGGAGUGCGGCAGAGGGGGAUGGAAUUCCGCGUGUAGCAGUGAAAUGCG
rnacentral:rRNA from 1 species